rnacentral:lncRNA from 1 species
AAGUCCAUACUCAUCUGUAGUGAAUGGGAUAGUAUCUGAGGGUGUCUGAUUUGUGGAUGCGUGUAUCUGUUUCAGAUGGCUGCGGGUUUAUGGAGGUCCAUCUUCUUGUGAAGCCAAGGACAAUGAAUAGUUAUAACAAGAGGAGCUCACCAUAAACACUUUUUUCUAAAUAUCCAGCACUGAAUUCUGUCUGGCACAGUUGUCAAUAUAAUGUUCCAGAUUCCAUCUUUUGCCAUAAACUGCCUUCUAAGCACAAUGUAAAUAGAAUAGGCACGUAAGAAUUGGGAAUUUGUGUGAUUAACAAGCUGCAUUUUUAACUGCCGUGGGAGAUUUAUUUAGACUGCCGAGUAUGCUUCAGAAUGUGUUUUUUAAUAUAAAUAGCUACUAAGAAAAAAGUCAGAUGAAUGUCAGAAAUGAGCUUUAAUGAAAUAUUUUUAAGAACAUAUACCAAAUAAAGUAAUGUGGUUUUCCCUGUUCUUUUCUUCG